AGCGAACGCUGGCGGCAUGCUUAACACAUGCAAGUCGAGCGGGCAUCUUCGGAUGGCAGCGGCCGACGGGCGAGUAACACGUUGAAACGUACCCUUCGGUUCGGAACAACUCUGGGAAACUGGAGCUAACACCGGAUACGCCCUUAUGGGGCAAGGUGUACUGCGGAAGGAUCGGCCCGCGUCCGAUUGGCUGGUGGGUGGGGUCACGCCAUACCAAGGCGACGAGCAGUAGCUGGUCUGAGGGGCUGAUCAGCCACGCUGGGGAUGAGGCACGGCCUAGAACGGUAGGGGGGGGAGGAGUGGGGAAGAUUGGGCGAGGGACGCAAACCCGGUCCAGCCAUGCGGGGGGAGUGGUGCAGGGGUUAGGGUUGUAAAGCCCGUUUGGACGGGACGAUAAUGACGGUACCGGAAGAAUAAGCCCCGGCUAACUUCGUG
rnacentral:rRNA from 1 species